GAUGAACGCUGGCGGCGUGCCUAAUACAUGCAAGUCGAACGAAACUUCUUUAUCACCGAGUGCUUGCACUCACCGAUAAAGAGUUGAGUGGCGAACGGGUGAGUAAUACGUGGGCAACCUGCCCAAAAGAGGGGGAUAACACUUGGAAACAGGUGCUAAUACCGCAUAACCAUAGUUACCGCAUGGUAACUAUGUAAAAGGUGGCUAUACUACCGCUUUUGGAUGGGCCCGCGGCGCAUUAGCUAGUUGGUAGGGUAAAGGCUUACCAAGGCAAUGAUGCGUAGCCGAAUUGAGAGGUUGAUCGGCCACAUUGGGACUGAGACACGGCCCAAACUCCUACGGGAGGCAGCAGUAGGGAAUCUUCCACAAUGGGCGAAAGCCUGAUGGAGCAACGCCGCGUGGGUGAAGAAGGUCUUCGGAUCGUAAAACCCUGUUGUUAGAGAAGAAAGUGCGUGAGAGUAACUGUUCACGUUUCGACGGUAUCUAACCAGAAAGCCACGGCUAACUACGUG
rnacentral:rRNA from 1 species